AAUGGAGGCAACUCUGAUGCAGCAAUGCCGCGUGUGUGAAGAAGGCCUUAGGGUUGUAAAGCACUUUCAAUAGUGAGGAAAAGCUGUAGGUUAAUACCCUAUAGCCCUGACGUUAACUAUAGAAGAAGCACCGGCUAACUCCGUGCCAGCAGCCGCGGUAAUACGGAGGGUGCAAGCGUUAAUCGGAAUUACUGGGCGUAAAGCGCGCGUAGGCGGAUAUAUAAGUCAGAUGUGAAAUCCCUGGGCUCAACCUAGGAACUGCAUUUGAAACUGUAUAUCUAGAGUGUGGUAGAGGUGAGUGGAAUUUCAGGUGUAGCGGUGAAAUGCGUAGAGAUCUGAAGGAACAUCAGUGGCGAAGGCGACUCACUGGGCCAUUACUGACGCUGAGGUGCGAAAGCGUGGGUAGCAAACAGGAUU
rnacentral:rRNA from 1 species